AACAGGAUUAGAUACCCUGGUAGUCCACGCCGUAAACGAUGUCGACUUGGAGGUUGUUCCCUUGAGGAGUGGCUUCCGGAGCUAACGCGUUAAGUCGACCGCCUGGGGAGUACGGCCGCAAGGUUAAAACUCAAAUGAAUUGACGGGGGCCCGCACAAGCGGUGGAGCAUGUGGUUUAAUUCGAUGCAACGCGAAGAACCUUACCUACUCUUGACAUCCACGGAAUAUGGCAGAGAUGCCUUAGCGCCCUCGGGAACCGUGAGACAGGUGCUGCAUGGCUGUCGUCAGCUCGUGUUGUGAAAUGUUGGGUUAAGUCCCGCAACGAGCGCAACCCUUAUCCUUUGUUGCCAGCGAUUCGGUCGGGAACUCAAAGGAGACUGCCGGUGAUAAACCGGAGGAAGGUGGGGAUGACGUCAAGUCAUCAUGGCCCUUACGAGUAGGGCUACACACGUGCUACAAUGGCGCAUACAAAGAGAAGCGACCUCGCGAGAGCAAGCGGACCUCACAAAGUGCGUCGUAGUCCGGAUCGGAGUCUGCAACUCGACUCCGUGAAGUCGGAAUCGCUAGUAAUCGUGGAUCAGAAUGCCACGGUGAAUACGUUCCCGGGCCUUGUACACACCGCCCGUCACACCAUGGGAGUGGGUUGCAAAAGAAGUAGGUAGCUUAACCUUCGGGAGGGCGCUUACCACUUUGUGAUUCAUGACUGGGGUGAAGUCGUAACAAGGUAACC
rnacentral:rRNA from 1 species